CCUACGGGUGGCUGCAGUGGGGAAUAUUGCACAAUGGGGGGAACCCUGAUGCAGCGACGCCGCGUGGGUGAAGGAGUACUUCGGUACGUAAAGCCCUAUCAGCAGGAAAGAAAAUGACGGUACCUGACUAAGAAGCCCCGGAUAACUACGUGCCAGCAGCCGCGGUAAUACGUAGGGGGCAAGCGAUAUCCGGAUUUUCGGGGUGUAAAGGGAGCGUAGACGGCAGUGCAAGUCCGUAGUGAAAGCCCGGGGAUCAACCCGGGGACUGCGCUGGAAACUGUAAGGCUGGAGUGCGGGAGGGGCAGGCGGAAUGCCUGGUGUAGCGGUGAAAUGCGUAGAUAUCAGGAGGAACACCGGCGGCGAAGGCGGCCUGCUGGACCGUAACUGACGUUGAGGCUCGAAAGCGUGGGGAGCAAACAGGAUUAGAUACCCUUGUAGUC
rnacentral:rRNA from 1 species